GCCCUGGUGGUGGAAUUGGUAGACACGCAGGACUUAAAAUCCUGUGGCCAUUUAGGUCGUACGGGUUCAAGUCCCGUCUGGGGCA
rnacentral:tRNA from 1 species